AACGAACGCUGGCGGCAGGCUUAACACAUGCAAGUCGAACGCCCCGCAAGGGGAGUGGCGCACGGGUGAGUAACGCGUGGAUAUCUGCCUUUUGGUUCGGAAGAACCCCGGGAAACUGGGGCUAAUACCGGAUGGUUCCUACGGGAUAAAGAUUUAUCGCCAAAAGAUGAGUCCGCGUACGAUUAGCUAGUUGGUGAGGUAAUGGCUCACCAAGGCGACGAUCGUUAGCUGGUCUGAGAGGACGAUCAGCCACACUGGGACUGAGACACGGCCCAGACUCCUACGGGAGGCAGCAGUGGGGAAUAUUGGACAAUGGGGGCAACCCUGAUCCAGCCAUGCCGCGUGAGUGAUGAAGGCCUUCGGGUUGUAAAGCUCUUUUGGCGGGGACGAUGAUGACGGUACCCGCAGAAUAAGCCCCGGCUAACUUCGUGCCAGCAGCAGCCGCUGUAA
rnacentral:rRNA from 1 species